ACAAUGAGGUUGAUGGUGACACAGUUGACUGCGGUCUUACUGAGACUAUGGUUGCAUACCUUUUCCAAGGAUCCUUCAAAAAGCAGGUUAAAUUCAACCAAUUUGUGUCAAGGAUGAAGGAAUCUUCAGUGACGCUGACUCUACAGACUGUCUCUCCAGAAGACUGGCAACCAUCUACUUCGUCAACUUCAAUAAGCAAUGAAAAUACUUUGAGACUGCCAGCCUCUUUUGAAAUUCCAAGAUUUCCCAAAAAUCUGCAACUAAAACUGGACAACAAAGAACCGUGCCAUAAAAAUCCAAGGGACAGACACACAAUAAUCAGAGUUCUAUAUGAAGCUGUGGCACAGUAUACUAUGUAUCCCACAAAUUCUGAAUAUGUGCAAGCUGUGAAGACGCUGGUAAUGAAGUAUCCUUUCCUCAAGGAUCGUGAGGGAAAUGGUUAUGGACCAUGCGUCCAAGGAGAGGAUUUAUUAUCCAUAGACGCCCACUUAAAGGUCUUACAGUGCCAAUAUCAGAAGAUGCAACCAGAUACCAUGGUGGUUCAUAACCGUAUGCAGCAAACGUUUGCUUGGCGGCAAAAAGAAAUUGCAGAUGGUAUGCCUGUGGAGGAUGUGUUGAAGAAGUACCCCUUCUUAGGGAUGCCUACUGGUCUGUGCAACGAACUCGGGUGGAUCCAACCAACAACGGGUAAUGUAAGCCAGCGAUUUCGUGAAGGGCUCUCAUGUGUUGCAGCAAGGGUGAUUGAUCUUACACGAGGGAAAACCCCACUUUACCAGCUCUACCUUGAUGCAAGAGAGGAGGCUCUCACUGAUGACCUACCAGAUCUUGACACAAGGGCUGCACUUUUAUUCCUGCCAUACGUCUUCAAGGAGAAACUGGAUCUCUUUGUCAUACUUGGAGAGGUUCAUCCUAAAACCCCCUAUCCAACUGUUCAGCUACUUCAUGAAGACUGGAAACCAGUGUUCUCCAGAAGCGCUCCAAACAUUGUGAAGUUGGAUGGCAGUGAAGUGUGCAGAACCUCGUGUAUUUUUGAAGGAAUCAUCUCUUCUUUCUGCUUGUAUUUUGUCUUCAACCUUGCUUACCCAAAACAUCUGAAGAACACCCUGAUUUUUCUCCAAAAGUACAUUGUGAAAAUAGAUGAGGGUGAGGACCGGCCUCUGCCAAUCACAGUCACCAGACAAAUAAACCUUCUGUAUUGA
rnacentral:lncRNA from 1 species